rnacentral:rRNA from 1 species
CCUACGGGGGGCAGCAGUGAGGAAUAUUGGUCAAUGGGCGCUAGCCUGAACCAGCCAAGUAGCGUGAAGGAUGACUGCCCUACGGGUUGUAAACUUCUUUUAUAAAGGAAUAAAGUGAGGCACGUGUGCCUGUUUGUAUGUACUUUAUGAAUAAGGCUCGGCUAACUCCGUGCCAGCAGCCGCGGUAAUACGGAGGAACCGAGCGUUAUCCGGAUUUAUUGGGUUUAAAGGGAGCGUAGAUGGGUUGUUAAGUCCAUUGUGAAAGUUUGCGGCUCAAACGUAAAAUUGCAAUUGAUACUGGCAGCCUUGAGUACAGUUGAGGUAGGCGGAAUUCGUGGUGUAGCGGUGAAAUGCUUAGAUAGCACGAAGAACUCCGAUUGCGAAGGCAGCUUACUAAACUGCCACUGACAUUGAUGCUCGAAAGUGUGGGUAUCAAACAGGAUUAGAUACCCCUGUAGUC